CCUACGGGAGGCAGCAGUGGGGAAUAUUGCACAAUGGGGGAAACCCUGAUGCAGCGACGCCGCGUGAGUGAAGAAGUAAUUCGUUAUGUAAAGCUCUAUCAGCAGGGAAGAAAAUGACGGUACCUGAGUAAGAAGCCCCGGCUAACUACGUGCCAGCCGCCGCGGUAAUACGUAGGGGGCAAGCGUUAUCCGGAUUUACUGGGUGUAAAGGGAGCGUAGACGGCAGUGCAAGUCUGGAGUGAAAGGCGGGGGCUCAACCCGCGGACUGCUCUGGAAACUGUACGGCUGGAGUGCAGGAGAGGUAAGUGGAAUUCCUAGUGUAGCGGUGAAAUGCGUAGAUAUUAGGAGGAACACCAGUGGCGAAGGCGGCUUACUGGACUGUAACUGACGUUGAGGCACGAAAGCGUGGGUAGCAAACAGGAUUAGAUACCCUAGUAGUC
rnacentral:rRNA from 1 species